GAGAGUUAUAUAAAAGUUCCAGGCCUGCCCACUGAUAUUAUUGAAGGGCCGCGGUAUUUUGACCGUGCAAAGGUAGCAUAAUCAUUAGUUUUUUAAUUGAGGGCUAGAAUGAAUGGUUAGACGAGGUAUAGACUGUCUCUGUGUAAAAUAUAUAAUUUAAUUUUUGAGUUAAAAAGCUUAAAUGAUAAUAAGGGACGAGAAGACCCUAUAGAGCUUUAUAUUGAUUUUGAAUAAUUUGUUUUUAGAUGAUUUAUAUUUAUUUUAAGUUUCUAUUAUGUUGGGGUGACAUGAAGAUAUAAGUAACUCUUUAUUUAUUUAACGUUGAUUUACGGUUAUAUGAUCCAGUAUUAUUGAUUAGAAGAUAAAGUUACCUUAGGGAUAACAGCGUAAUUUUACUUGAGAGUUCGUAUCGAAAGUGGAGAUUGCGACCUCGAUGUUGGAUUAAGAAAAUGGUUAAAUGCAGUAGUUUAAUUUAUAGGUCUGUUCNACCUUUAAAAUCCUUACAUGAUCUGAGUUCA
rnacentral:rRNA from 1 species